rnacentral:lncRNA from 14 species
AUGGAGAUGCCCACUGAGGUGCCAAGGGAUGAGGAGGACACUGCUGAGCUGGAGGAAGGCCCAGAAGAAGAUCCAAACUGCCUUGGGGCGGUGGAACCAUCAUCAGGAGGUUCUGGUGAGCCAGCCCGGGGUGCCACAGGCUCUACAGCAUGGGAGGCACCAGAGAACCCAGAAGAUCCAGAUGAGGGUAUGGAGAUGCCCAGUGAGGUGCCGAAGGAUGAGGAGGGCUCUGCUGAGCUGGAGGAAGGCCCAGAAGAAGAUCCAAACUGCCUUGGGGCGGUGGGACCAUCAUCAGGAGGUUCUGGUGGGCCAGCCCAGGGUGCCACAGCGUGCCAGGGACCAGAGCACCCAGAAGAUCCAGAUGAGGAGCUCCAGAGCACAGCUGAGCUGGAGGGGGAUGCCCCUGGAGCAACAACCACGCUGGGGCUGGCAGGGCAGGAGGAGGAGGAGGAGGAAGAUGAGGAUGAGCCCAGAACUGCUCCCCAUGACACAACCACGGCCCCAGCAGAGCUCCAGGCCCAGGCAGGGCCUGAUGGAGCAGAGCAGCUCCUGGAAGAGCAGCCAGGCACGGAGGAGGGAGCCCUGGGCAGCGAGAGCCCGGGGCAGGGAGGUUCUCCAGAGCUGGUUCCAGACAUCCCUGACACAGCUGAGCUGCCCGUGGAGCUCAUGAAAGCCUCGGGGAUUCUGGAAAUAGUGGAGCAGGCGCUGGAGUUCAACCAGGAGCUGAUGGAGGGGAGGGUGGCAGAGGAUGGGCAGGGUCCUGGCAGGAGAGAGCUCUCCGGGGAUGGAGGGGAACACCCUGAGCUCCCCUGGGAUGGAGAGGAAGACUCCAAACUCUCUCGAGAUGCAGAGAAAGGCUCUCAGCUCUACCAGGAUGCAGAGGAAGACCCCGAGCCCUCCCGGGAUGCAGAGAAAGGCUCUGAGCUCCCCUGGGAUGUAGAGGAAGACUCCAAACUCUCUCGAGAUGCAGAGGAAGGCUCUGAGCAGUCCCGGGAUGCAGAGGAAGACUCCAAACUCUCCCAGGAUGCAGAGGAAGGCUCUGAGCUCUCCCGGAAUGCAGAGGAGGACUCAAAACUCUCCCGGAAUGCAGAGAAAGGCUCUGAGCUCCUCUGGGAUGCAGAGGAAGACUCCAAACUCUCCCGGGAUGCAGAGGAAGGCUCUGAGCUCUCCCGGAAUGCAGAGGAAGACCCCGAGCCCUCCCGGGAUGCAGAGAAAGGCUCUGAGCUCCCCUGGGAUGCAGAGGAAGACUCCAAAUUCUCUCGAGAUGCAGAGGAAGGCUCUGAGCUGUCCCGGAAUGCAGAGGAAGGCUCUGAGCCCUCCCGGGAUGAGGAGGAAGGUUCCUCCCUCUCCUCCUCCAGCGAGGAGGAGCCCACCGUGCAGGAGGCCCCGCAGGUGAUGGAGGAGGGCGAGCUCCGGGCUCAGAACGGGCUGCACCGCCCGGCCAGCCUGGAGGAGCUGCCCGAAUUCAGCGAGGAGCUGCUGAACGGCACCUCCAGCGCUGCCCCGGCACGGGAGAUCCCCAGAGAGCCCUCGGGGGUGGUGCCAGCACCGGCCCCCAGCCCUGCGGAUGGCACUGCCACCAAGCCGGGGGAUGGCACUGCCACCAAGCCGGGGGAUGGCACUGCCACCAAGCCGGGGGACGGCAGCCUCAGGGGGAAGCAGCUGAGCCCCGUGUCCCCUGCUCUGGGGGAGGAUGUCCUGAGCCUCACAGCCCUGCAGCAGCCCUGCUCCUCAGGAGACGAGUGACAGCAACCAGGAGGAACCUUCUGGUAGCUCCUUCCUGCCAAAUCCCUGUGCCCCCCUGUCCCACCCCGUCCUGAUGCUUCCCAGUCUCCCUGUGGGUUUUUAACACGUUUGUGUGGAUUUUUUUGCACCCCUUUUCAGAGUGAAGAACCACCAAGUUCUGUUGUACCCUCACAGCCCACCCGAAUUCUCGUGUUUGCUCUGGGACCCCCUCUUCAUUUUGAGUUUCCUCCUGGAGGAACCCACCUGGUAUUUAAUUUAAACUCCGUGUUUCUCCAUUUCCUGCAAGAUUCCCUCUCCAACUCCUCCAGUAUUUGCCCCAGGACGUCCAGUUGAAGGUUAGGGACCCCCCCAAACCCCUCCAAGACUCAGAAUUUUGGGCUACAUCACCCCAGGCUCCCCAGCCUGACCCUGGGUUUUUAACACGUUUGUGUGGAUUUUUUGCGCCCCUUUUCAGAGUGAAGAACCACCAAGUUCUGUUGCACCCUCACAGCCCACCCGAAUUCUCGUGUUUGCUCUGGGACCCCCUCUUCAUUUUGAGUUUCCUCCUGGGUGGGUUGCUGUGGCUGUAUUUAAUUUAAACUCCGUGUUUCCCCAUUCCUUGCAAGAUUCCUUCUCCAAUUCCUCCAGGACGCCCAGCUGGAGCUUAGGGACCCCCACAAACUGCACCCUGGGACUCAACAUUUUGGGGUCCAUCACCCCAAGGUCCCCAGCCUGACCCUGGGGGCUGAGCCACGCUGGAUGUACCCAAAAUUAAUUUAAUAAAGCCUCAUCCUCCCCUCAGGGCUGCCUCUCCUCACUCUGGGGCGGGGGCAGCAGGGCUGGGGAGGGCACUGGCUGGAGGGGUUGCAUUUCCAGGCUGGUUUGGGCUGGGAUGGUGCCCUGGUGGGGAUCUGGGGGCAGGAUGGCUGGGAUGGUGCUGCCCCAUCUCUGGGACAAUGCACAGCCCUGGAGCUUCGUGGAGCCCAUCCCUGGGGCGGUGCUGGCCCGGUGCUGGGGCAGUGCAGCCCCCCAGGGCAUUGGAAAUCGCUGAGCAGGCCCUGGAGUGUUCAGCCAGGAGCUGAUGGGGGUGAGGAUGGCAGAGGGUGAGCAGGGUUUGCAACCCCAGGAUGCUCCUCCAGUGCCAGGGUGGUGCAGCCCCGUGGGCAAUGCCCCCAGAAGGAUUCUCCUCCUUUCCCAGGGUGAUCCCCCCAGGGGGAUUCUCCUCCAUUCCCAGGGCAAUACCCCCAGGAGGAGGUUCCCCCAUUCC